rnacentral:rRNA from 1 species
GACGAACCGUGCGAACGUUGUUCGGAUUCACUGGGCUUAAAGGGCGCGUAGGCGGCGGCUCAAGUCGGGGGUGAAAUCCUCUCGCUUAACGAGAGAAUUGCUUUCGAUACUGGGUCGCUGGAGGGAGAUAGGGGUGCGCGGAACUUCCGGUGGAGCGGUGAAAUGCGUAGAUAUCGGAAGGAACGCCGGUGGCGAAAGCGGCGCACUGGAUCUCUUAUGACGCUGAGGCGCGAAAGCCAGGGGAGCAAACGGG